UACGGAGGGUGCAAGCGUUAUCCGGAUUCACGGGGUUUAAAGGGUGCGUAGGUGGGUUGGUAAGUCAGUGGUGAAAUCUCCAGGCUUAACUUGGAAACUGCCAUUGAUACUAUCAAUCUUGAAUACCGUGGAGGUCAGCGGAAUAUGUCAUGUAGCGGUGAAAUGCUUAGAUAUGACAUAGAACACCAAUUGCGAAGGCAGCUGGCUACACGAAUAUUGACACUGAUGCACGAAAGCGUGGGGAUCAAACAGG
rnacentral:rRNA from 1 species